ACGCCCCCUGCUUACCCACGUGUUCUUUCCCGAUCGUACCCGGCUGCCUGCCUGCACCACCCCGAUCGUGACAGAUACUUUACCCAACACCCGAGGCCUGCAGCGGGGCGUCCGGGCCUAUGCCAGAGCCCCAGAGCUGUGGUGCUAGAGAUCGACUUUUAUUUAAAUUAGAAAUAUAUUAUUUUAUACUAUUCACAAACAAGACAGAUUAAUAAAUAGAGGUAAUGUGCUUUCUGCCAGGAUGGGACUGCUGGCUGUCUGCUUCUUACAUCCAGGACCAGCGGUUAAACGAGAUAUUACAGUCACUCUGCAGUCACCCUGCAACAAUUUGUCAACCGGCGGCCAUUUUGUUUCAUUGUUUGCUUCCUUCUCAUGGGCUUAUCGCUCACGGCUCCAAAAGCUCUUGUGCUGACGCCCCGUUACCCACUGCCGCGGACAUUAGCUGACCGACAUGCCUAGACAUGCAAUACGCAUAAAUCCCCCCCCCCCCCCCAAAACAGGAUGGCUGUGUUUUACCGAUAUAAAAUAGUACAUUUUGUUUAAAGCUACAAUAAAUAUAUUAUAAUAUUUUCAUCAAAUAAUUAAUCUCACCUGUUCACUAUCAGUGCCCUGGGAUAUUAACACUUUGGUCAUGACACUAAUUCAUUGUUCUCCAUCUAAUCAUUUUCUCUGUAGAAUAUCUUUCAUAAUUUAUAUUUCAGUUUCAAGAGUGACCUUUUCUUAGUCUUUAUUAACAGAAAAUUGCUUUUUAUUAACAAUCCUUUCUCCUGUUUCCACUGCUCUCCUUUUCUCUGCACAUGAUGAAGAAGGAGGGGAUAAUGAAAAACGGAGGUAAGCAUUCAGCAGCAUUUACAGUAGUGUGGGGGUCCUGCUAGCAGCAUUUACCUGAUCACACAGUGAUGGGAAACUGUCAUUUUAAUUUUAAGAAAAAAAGAUAUUGUUUUUUAUUUCAUUUUCUUAAUAAUAAACUUGAGAUCCCAUCCCAUCCAGGGUGAGCCCUUGCCUUGUGCCCUGUGCUGCUGGGGAACGACUGCAGGCCUGUUUUUACAAAAUAGUGUAACAUGUUGUGUGAUAAUCUCUAGCUAUUUUCAUGCUCUUUGUUAAUGUCUCCUGUUCCUCACAUGUGUCCUGUGUAAUACUACAGAUGUGGCUGUACCGUGUUUCUAUAAAGCAUGUAAGACUUUACUGUUCACAUCCACCCUCUUAUUCAGCUCUUUGGUCCAGCUGGCUCUGUAUGUAGGACUGAGCUUAUUGGUGCUGCUGUUGGUCAUCAUCAUCACAUGGAAAGUGUGGGACAAACACACGAAAAAUGUGGCUGGGGGCCAAAAUCUAGGAAGGACAACAUACUCGGAUGUCCUGGGACAGCAUGAAGUCAGCGACGCUCGGAAGAAAGCCAUACUUAUUCACUGCUUAGGCACGGAAGGACGGCAGAUCUUUCGGACGCUCGGACCUGCGGAGAUGUAUGAAGACGCUGUUUCGCUCCUGGGUUCUCACUUCGCAGCUCCACAAAGUGUCAUCCUGUGGCAGAUUCUUUUUCGCCGAAGGCGACAGCAGCCGGGUGAGUCCGUACAUCAGUACGUGGCUAAUCUGCGUGGUUUAGCCAGUCUUUGUAAAUUUGGUGGCAUGCAGGAUGAAUUCAUUCGUGGUCAGCUGGCUGAACACUCUAACCACCCUAAAAUUAGAGAGCGACUGUUGACAGCAGCACAUGACCUCGCUAGCGCUAUACAAGUCGCGUUUCAAAUUGAAACAGCAGUGGAGUUUACGUCUAAAUUACCUUACCCCGCUGUCACCUCGCUCCCUGCACAAUAUGUAUCUGCAUCACAGCCACCUUCGUCAGGACUAUCUGAAGUUGGUUCAGACGUGCAUUAUACACCGCGAAAGCAACAAUGACAACGCUGUGGGAAUUGUGGCUCAUUCUACAAUGUGUCGACCCGCCCGUCCGAUCCUCCUGGAUGCCGUGGAAUCCCCGUGUUUACCAGCUGUUUCGAAGUGUCUUCAUUAGUUUUGUGUAUUUAUGUCCAGGUCAGAGAAUGUUUCCCUAGUUCUGUCAUUGUAUUGUUAUGGUGAUUUUUGUUCCGUAUGCCGAUCCGGCUCCCUAUUAAAUCCCUUUUUGUCCUUCACCUGUUUUCCCAGUCCGAGCUUGCCGUAUCAUGACGCCGUGUUACUGGGGCCCGGAGCUGUCCUGCCCAUGGGCAACGGUGCCAGCGCUGUGGCAAAGUUAACCAUUUUGCCAAUGUAUGCCGGUCGACCCCUGCAAAUUCUACAGCACUGUCACUCUCCACUGCACCUCCAUCUGCUUCUACAACUAUUCACACUGCCAGCUUUUAAAACCUGUACUGUAGAGCUGGACAAAGUCUGCCUUCCCCUCUUAUUGGGUACUGGGGCCACAUUCACUUAAUCUAGAUACUGUACGGUAGUUUUUUUCCCAUGUGCCACUUUCUAAGGCCGUUCCUGCUCCAUGUGGCUAUGGCACUUCCAAAAUUCACGUUAGGCUCCAGCCGGCUAUCAGUCCGCUGUGGCUAUAAACUAGUCCCAGACUUUCCCUUUCACGUCUCCCACCAUUUUGCCAACAUGGGCCUUGACUCUUUUAUUGCCCUUGGAUUCUCCCUACUGGAUAUGACUGGAUCUGCCGUUUUAACUUGCCAUGGCAACAGCAGUCCCCUGUUGGAGGGCGUAGGCUGUCUCUCCACAUUUAAUCACCAACCCCUACUUGUCCCAUCUAUAACUUCAGUACUUCAUGUUGAGUCCCCUGGCCCUUCAUGAUGGUGUUGCUGCUGAGCUGCGCCACCUGCUGGAGGCAGACAUUAUUGAGCUAGUUGAUGCUUCUAAGUGGAUCUCAAAUCUGGUGAUAGCUAAGUAGAAAUGCAGGAGUCUGUGUCUCUGUGUCGACCUCCGGGCUGUAAACAAGGCCGUUGUCCCUGACAAGUACCCCCUCCCUUCCAUAGUAGAAGUCACUUCCCACUUUCAUGGCUCGAUGGUCUUCACAAAACUGGGCCUUCGUCGGAGCUAUCUGCAGAUCCCUCUCCAGCCUGACAGCCAGAAUCUCACGGCUUUUGUGACACAUGCUGGAGUGUUUCAGUGCACAUGGGUCUCAUUUGGGCUUAGCUCUGCCCCCAGCUGCUUCCAGAAGAUUAUGACUACCAUCUUCACUGGCAUACCUGGGGUGAUUAUCUACCUCGAUGACAUCAUGGUCCAUGGAUUCUGCCUCACGGCUGAGGGCCUCAUUCCACUUCAACCUAAUAUUGAGGCCAUUCAGCGUAUUUCUGGACCCACGAAUGCUAACCAGGUUCUCUCUUUCCUGGGCAUGACAGCUUAUUACCUGUGUGUUUUUUGCCUCACUACUCCGCUACCACAGCUCCAUUACAUCAGCUGCUGCAGAAAGAUGCAUUUGGAUGCCAGCCUGCUUUGAGGCUUUCCAGCUCCGGAAGUCCCAUCUCACAUCACCUCCUAUUCUGGCAAACUUUUCCCUCUCCUGCCCCACCUCUGUCACCUGUGAUGCCUCAGCUGUGGCAGUUGGAGCUGUACUGUCACAGCUGCAGGAUGGAGUGGACUGGCCCAUUGGCUCUGCCUCCCGUGCUCUCACCCCCACCGAACGAAAAUAUUCCGUGGGCGAACGUGAGGCUCUAGCCUGUGUCUGGGCCUGUGAGCGGUGGCACAUGUAUCUUUAUGGCAGGGCAUUUACACUGCGCACUGACCACUAGGCCCUGACAGCCUUGCUUGCAACAGCUAGUACAGGAUGCAAACCACAAUGACCGGUGGUCUGAGCAGCUGCAGCAGUACAAUAUCAUCCUGUUUCACCCCAGGUUGUGAUAACGUUGUGGCAGACCUGCUGUCCCGCUACACCCAGUAUCCUGCAGCACCUGACUCCAUCUCUCAGGAACCAGACCUCAGCCAGAUGAUGCACACACCACUGAAGGCAGCUGUCUCCUUUGAUGAACUCCGGCUGGCCUCAGAACCAGACCCAGUCCUUCCUCAGCUUCGUACAUACAUUCGCACAGGCUGGCCGACUGAAGUCUCUGCUGAGGUGACCCCUUACCACAGGGUCAGGGAUGAGCUUUCAUGUUGGAAUGAGCACUGCGUAGCUCGUGGAGCUGUCACAGUGGUGCCAAGCAGCCUUCAGGCCCGUGUUCUUAGCAUGGCACAUGAAGGCCAUUUGGGCAUUGUACAUGUCAAACCACGUUGUAGGGACCUAGUAUGGUGGCCCGGCAUUGAUAGGGACAUAGAAAACCUAGUUAGGGAUUGUGCAGCUUGCCUUAUGAGCAGGAAAAUGGGCCAACCUGCACCACCCCCUCUGCAGCCUCCGGUUUGGCCCAUCCUUGGGAACAUCUCCAACUGGAUAUCUGUGGGGAACUACAUGGAGUUCCACACCAGCAGCGGUUCCUCCUUGUGGUGCAUGAUCUCCACUCUAAGUGGCCUGAGGUGGUCUCCACUGGCACUGUCACGGCACGGGUACUCACUGACUUUUUAGACGCCCUCUUUGCUCGAUGGGAACUUCCUCUGGCUAUUACGAUGGAUAAUGGGCCCCAAUUUGUGUCUGCUGAGUUCGAAGCCUUUCUGACGGAUCCAGGCAUCCGUCACAUCUGCACAACUUCAUAUCACCCCCAGGCCGAUGGCGGAGCGGAGCGUCUCAAUCAGACCCUUAAGUAUGGCAUCUGAGCCCACUUAGCUGAAGGUUACCCCUUUUCAGCGGUGCUCCUUCACACACUGCUCCAUUACAGAGCCACCAAGCACAGCACAACAGGCUGCUCGCCAGCGUCACUUAUGUUGGGCUGCGAACUGCAGCUUCCACUGGAUCGACUCAAGGCCAGUGGCCCCUCCCCCUACAUGCUGCCACAGGGUGUCCGCCCAGCAGCACAAGAUGAAGCUGCGGUUUGAUCGGUCUUGGGGGACGAGGAACCCCACUAUUGCCGUUUCGGAUUGGGUCAGAAUCCGCCGCGCUCAUCGUGACCACAAGCUGGUCUCAUUCUGGUCCCCUCCUAUUCAGGUGGCGGGGAAGCUAGGGCCAGCUACCUUUUCUCUUUCUGAUGGGUCUCGAUGGCACGCUGGCCGCCUCCGCAAGGUGGCAGCUCCGGAAUUGGCCAGCACUCAUGUUCAUGCUGGCUCCCCUUCAUCAGAAGGUGAUUAGAACUUACCUAUGGAACGAGGUGUGCUCACAUCUGAACCCAUAGUGCAGCACACUCAAUGCCCAGCCGCACAUCCAUUCGAGUCUACAUUGGAGUCCCCUCGAAGAUCAGCUCGCAUCCAGUCUCGCCCAGGUUACCCAAGGGACUUUGACUGAAUUCUGAUAUGCUGACCUUGCACCUGGCUCUCUGUGCAGUUCAUUUAAUGUGCUGGGUACGCUAAGUACUAUUGUGCUUUUCCAUGCCAAAUUGUGUUAAUAUAUUGUUUAUCUGAAACAUUUUAGGGCAUCCCAAACAACUGGGUGAGUGCAGUUUGCCGAAUUAUCAUGACUGAUUUUGUUUUCUGGGGGGGGGGGGGGGGAGUAGAGGUUAUGUACUCGCACAAAAAAUACGUUACGUUUGGGGAAUAUUAAGGGGACAGUGCGCAGGAAGAGGAGAGCAGGUUUUUUGGGAAAAAAUGACUGAACAGCUUCAGUUUACAACCUGUCUCGUGUCUUCCUUAAAACGCGACACCCACCGUUUGCAUACCUGACGGUCCAGCCUCUGACCUUCCUGUGUUUUCAUACUGUGUUAGGUCUGGUGCUUGUUGGGUGCUUCUUAUUUUCCUGCUAAAGACUGCAAAUAAAGAGCGUGUUCUACCCCGACAAGCAAGUCUUUUUGUUCUUUGCUGCUCUUUCAAUGUCUUGGUCUGCUUGGUGGUCUCCCCUUGUUAUUCAGUACCGGGUGUCGUACUCCCCUUGUUAUUCAGUACCGGGUGUCGUACUCCCCUUGUUAUUCAGUACCGGGUGUCGGUUCUCCCCUUGUUAUUCAGUACCGGGUGUCGUACUCCCCUUGUUAUUCAGUACCGGGUGUCGAUUCUCCCCUUGUUAUUCAGUACCGGGUGUCGUACUCCCCUUGUUAUUCAGUACCGGGUGUCGAUUCUCCCCUUGUUAUUCAGUACCGGGUGUCGUACUCCCCUUGUUAUUCAGUACCGGGUGUCGAUUCUCCCCUUGUUAUUCAGUACCGGGUGUCGAUUCUCCCCUUGUUAUUCAGUACCGGGUGUCGUACUCCCCUUGUUAUUCAGUACCGGGUGUCGAUUCUCCCCUUGUUAUUCAGUACCGGGUGUCGUACUCCUCUUGUCAUUCAUUACCAGGUGCUGAUAGUUCCUUUAUUAUUCAUUGCCAGUUCAAAAGUGAGUUACUGCAUUAUAAUGGUUUCUAAAUGGAAAUAAAAAGUCUUAAUUUUGGAAAAUAACUUUAAUGGUAAAGUUAUUUACUUGUACACUGGAUUAUCUCCAAAUUCAUCACUAAUGACGUUUCAUUGUUGUCAGUUAAAGAAUGGACAGGUGGUUCUGUAGAGAUACAUGGUCAUAAUGUUCCUCUCUCAGACCUCUGAGGAGCCUGGUGCUGAUGUCACCUACAGCUCCAUUGUCCUGCCAGAGGUAAGAUGGUUUCAUGUAAAUCAGUUUUUGUGAUACUGCUCCUAUGCCCGUACCAAUGAGAGUGACAAGUAUAUCAAUAAUGUACUGACUGGGCAGGUACAUCUACACCUCAGCUGAUCUCUCAGAUCCAUGUGUAUCACAAUUAGCAGUAAUGAACCAAGAAGUACCAUGAUACCCCUGAUAUUUCAUAGUGAUUCACAUGGGAGGUUUGGGAGUUUAUGGAUUUGUGGUUUCUGUACAAAGGUUAGUCUUGUACCUCCACUGUGAGCAGCUAAAUGC